GAGUUUGAUCAUGGCUCAGGACGAACGCCGGCGGCGUGCUUCAUACAUGCAAGUCGAACGGGGCUCAGCUGGUGGCAACACCAGGGAAAGCCUAGUGGCGAACGGGUGCGUAACACGUGAGCAACCUACCCCGGAGUCCGGAAUAACAGUGGGAAACCGCUGCUAAUACCGGAUGACCCCACCAUCUCGCAUGGGAGGGUGAGGAAAGGGUUCCCGCUUCGGGAGGGGCUCGCGACCUAUCAGCUUGUUGGUGAGGUGAUGGCUCACCAAGGCGACGACGGGUAGCUGGUCUGAGAGGACGAUCAGCCACACUGGGACUGAGACACGGCCCAGACUCCUACGGGAGGCAGCAGUAGGGAAUCUUGCGCAAUGGGCGAAAGCCUGACGCAGCAACGCCGCGUGGGGGAUGAAGGCCUUCGGGUUGUAAACUCCUUUCAGUGGGAACGAAACUGACGGUACCCACAGAAGAAGCCCCGGCCAACUACGUGCCAGCAGCCGCGGUGAUACGUAGGGGGCGAGCGUUGUCCGGAUUCAUUGGGGCGUAAAGAGCU
rnacentral:rRNA from 1 species